GUUAGUUUCAAAAUUUUAGCUCCUCAAAAAUUUUUGGUAUUUCUUUUUUGAAAAAUUUUAGAGAGAAUGGCUGUUUUCGUUCCAAUCUUUAUAAUUUUUUCGAGUUUGCUCUUGGUAUUCUCGUUAUUUUAUUUAACUCACGUUAAGGUUCAGAUGAAAAAUAAACGCCGGGUAGAGCAACUGAAGCUUCAGGAGCAAGCAGCGCUAAUUGCCGCAGAAAUAGAAAAAGAGGAAGUUCAAUCAGAACAUGAAGAUGAAGUCAGGGAAGAUAAUAGCUCUAUGAAAAUCAAAACAGACAAUUUCGAAAGGGUGAAAGACUUAUUGUUCAAGGCGACAACUAUGCGUUCUGCUGAGGAAUUCGAGCCUGACGAGAACGUGUCAAAUGUUAACUAUUUUGGAAACAGACAGAACCCAGUAACUAAUGUUAAAGAAUUUUUGAAAUGUAUUUCGCAAAAACAUUUAGAAUUCAAGUGAAUACUCUUAGUUGCAGUAUUAAAUCGACCGCAACUAACAAAAAGUCUAGCAAUGAGUCCCCUUCGUUUCUAGACUGAUUACAUUAUAUUAUUGAUGCCGUCUUUGAAGGAAUGCUGCGGUUUGAAAAUUGGCAUUCAAUUAGUGGGGGAAAAUUUGAACUUUAUGGUGUUAUAUUGUAUCGAAAACUAUCAACACGCGUAGUCGACUAAAAUCAGAGAACGUUAUUGGAGUACUCUGUGUGGCUGAUCAUUUGACAAAAUGAUAUGAUACUCUCAGAAAUAUGCGCCAGAUCAAAACGUGUAAAGUUAAUUGUAGAGAUAUUGUCAAUACACCAAGUCGAUUACUGCAGAUGCAUUUUCUCGGAUGUGGAAUAUUAUAAGUAAUUUUGAGAAAAGUGGACUUUGCGGAGGUGGUUCAUAUUUAUUGUUAUUAAUGAAUCACGUACCAAUUGAAAAAAUAUGUUUUAGAAAUUGCCAACGGCAUUUUUAAACAAAGGUAUUAGUGGAUAAUUCAUAUAUAUCCACAGAACAAAGUACUAUAAUGAGUACUUUACUUAAUUAAUUUUUAAAAGGAGUACAAACAGGUAUUUUAGCAUAACAGUGAUAAAGCAGUAAUUUGCUUUUUACAAAAAGUUUAAACAAAUUUUAAGAUUUAUAUAUUUUAUAUUUGCGAUAUAUCAAUUCUUAUGAUGGCACUAGUCUUAAUAAUGAAGAACUCACACAGUUUGGACAAAAAUGUUUACUGACCAUAACAAAAGAGACAUCCUAUUCAAGGUCAAGCCUCAGUUAUGUUGCCGUAGCCAAGGUAUAAAAUUUUCCGAAGACAAAGAAAAAUGUUAGAAAUGACUGCUUGGUUUACCUGGUAUCAUUUCUAAAGAACCGUAAAAAUACUUCAGAAACGACGAGCAAUAUCUCUCCCUUAUGUUAUUGUGUCCUUGUAAAGAAUAAAUGGUUUCAACACUGUAAUCGACGGACAUCGUCAAUUUCAUGUUUCGGAAGAACCAAGCCGUAAACAGUUUUGUGUAUAAAUUGUGAGGUCUAUAGAACUAUUCAAAAUUCAACUGAAGAGUGUAUAAACUAAAGCUGUUGCUGUCCAAAAGUAAAUACUGUCAUAAUCGUAGUUCUAUUAUUGUCCAGAUUGAGAACAACAAAUAGCAGUUCUCUCCCAGUAAAAUUUUUCCGUUGAUAAACUUUCAUUUAAUAAAUAUCAAUAAUAAUAAUGUA